GACCGCGCCCUCCUCUCCUGCUAGCCGCCGCCGCCCCUGGACCCACCCGCGCCCUCCUCUGUUCUUUCCACUUCUCUCUCUCCUCCCUUCCCUCCCCCUCGCUUCUCUCUCCCAGGCAACCUGCGUGAGUGCGUAACGGCGUGGGCUGGAUAGCGACUCGCGAGCCCCCCUGCACCUUCACCCUUCGAGCUCCGCUCCCUCCACUGUACGCGACGCUCGAACCGAGCAUCGGAGGCGGCGCUGUCGCCGCAACCCAUCACUGGAUUGUGCGGGGGGGGGGGGGUGGAAACGAGUACGGGCAGUGUGCGGUGAGGAGCCUGAGAGGAAGGAGGAUGGGACGAGGGCGCUCAGGAGGGACAUCCUGACCCCACAGCGGUGCGCACCCAAGCUCAAAGUCCGGCAAGUUGACAUUGCUGCUGGAGGCUGGCAUUCAACUGCACUAACUAUACAGGGAGAUGUAUUUACAUUAUCUUGAUUCUUUAAUUCAGGGUUACCAUCUUAUUAUGUGCUAUUUUAUCCUGCCAAGGCACCAGAUGACACAAACAUACUGAGGGACAGGCUUUUCUUUUAUUCUUUGGAAAUAAACUUCAUGGAAAAUGUUGUCAUGUCAUUUUGGCUGCAGAUAAAUUCACUUCCUUGCUAUUUAUUCAGAGCAUGCUUUAAAGAUGUCCAGAUUAGAAAGUACCAAAAAUAUACAUAUUAUACGAUGAAAGUAACCUAGAGUGUGUUGACCACGUUGAGCCCCUGAACCAAAUACAAAGUCAGUAGUUGUUCCAAAAAAAAGCUACAGACUCAGUCUGGCUUGAGUUCCAUUGAUUCAGAUCUAUCUGUACCUUAUUCUGAAUUUUCUAGAAACAAAUAUUAAUGGCAUGGAAACAUGUAUUAUUUAGUGAUGUUUCAUUGUGUUUUGUUUUUCUAAAUAUUACCUAUUUUUCUUGGAUUUUUUAUGAUUUACCAUUGGAAGUAGGUCAUGCUGACUGGUGGGAGGAACACCGGGCGUGUAGGAGUCAUCAAGAACAGGGAGAAGAACAAGGGCAGCUUUGAGACCAUCCACGUGCUGCUUGGAGCUUUUUGCUAUGUCUAGUUUUCUCCUAUUUGUUGUACAGGAAAACAUAGAAUAGAAUUCAAAUUUGGUGGUCGCAAAAGUGUGGAGACUUUAAUUCAUAUAAAGUUAGGCUUAACAUUAGUGCAAACAGUUGUAUUUUAGUUUAGAUUUAGAGUACACUUAUGUAUGCGUUGAUUGACAAUGUUUAUUUAUGAUAUAUUGAAUGGUACUUAUUUAUAUUAUAU